UUAAAAAUCCAAGACAAGAAAAUAAAGCAUCAACUAAAGCAUUUCAGCUACAUAUGGAAAACUCACAGGCAAAGUCAGAAAGUGAUUAAAAGAAAAAAGCAGCGAAAGAAAUCCCACCAAACCAUACCAAAUUCACUUCAUGCUCAAUCCAUUGGUUAAUCAGCCUCUGCAUAAGCAGUCUCAAGGUGGGCUUGCUCAGCUUCUUGCACCUCCUUCUCAGUCUUCCUUCCUUUCUUGCACUUGUAGUAGACACUCAUGAAGGUUCCCACAGCUCCAUAUCUCCUCCGGCAUUGCUCAUAGAGUCCAGCAUCAAACAUUCUCCAGAAAUUCUUCUCACUCAGCUCAGAAACUGCAUACUGCGGCUGAAAGCCAUGAUUCUCAAUCAACCAGUUCUCCAUUCUACGAACUGCCUCAGGACCAUCAAACACCUCACCUCUGAAUACAGGUUCUGGUGUAUAAUAAACUCCAACAUCUGUAUACAUUUGAGCAUAGGGUGUGUCACCCUGUUUGAGCUGAUGCUCAAAUCCUGGCUCAGGAUACACCAUAGUUUUGACAGGCAACUUGAAUAGUCUGUGUGGACAGAGCCAAAUGGGGUAUAUCUCCAUCUCACGGUCAACCCACUCUAGGGCAUCUCCAACCUUGUAAAGAGGAACAAGCAUAUCCUGAAUGACAUGCAUCUCAUGGUAGUAGUUUCUGAUUGCUUCACCUUGGGUAGCCUUGAGCAAAGAAACCUUGGGAGGCAUCAUCCAGCCCAACAGAAAUCUAAACCACCAUUGAUCAGCAAAUGGAAGUAUAAGUUUUCCCUCCCAGUACAAACACCUCGUGUGCCUGUGGUAAUAUUCCCUGGUUGGGAUGUACUCUAUGAACUCUCCUUUCUUUAAGGCUGUCUGUGCAUGCUGGUAGAACCAAGGUUUAUACCACCAACCAACACUGUUAAUUACAUUGCCCUUGUUCUUGGCUUCUUCUUUUGAGGCAUAUCUCCCUGUCAUCAUCACACCUUCAGUACGACAAUAAAUCAUGCCUUCUACAAAGUCUGGAACCUUCGCUGGGUUAUCCUGAUCAAGAUCUCUAGGUGCAAAUGAGUCCAUAUAAGCCUGGGCUAGAUCUUUGAGAGUACCCACAACAGGUUUGUAUGUGACCUUCAUGUAUUCUUUAAUGGGUAUAAGUUUUACCUCAGCAGCAACAAGAAGGCCAAGUGUCCCUUGAGACCAAGGGAUGGCAUAAAAAAGAUCAGAAUAUUCAUUGUCCUUGGUAGCUCUGACAACGUUACCAUCUGCCAGAACGAUUUCAUAAGCUACAACAGUAUCAGAGAACAAGCCAUAUAUAUGAGAGCUUCCUUCAAUCCCAUAACCAUUGAUGAGCCCACCAACAGUAAGAUCAUCAAGCUCAGCAACCACUGCAAGGGCAAGAUUCAUUGGGACAGUUUCCCUAGAAAUCUGCCCCAUGUUUACAAGUGGCUCAACUCUUGCAAUCAUUCUUUCUUUAUCAAUUUCAAGAAUAUUGCGAAAUGCUGAUAAAUCAACUUCAAAAUGCCGAGCCCUCUUAUAGUCAACAUUCCGCAUUCCAACAGCAAUCCAGGGUUUACGGGCAGUGCAUACAAGACCAUCCUUUGAUGGGUUCCUCUGCUUGAGGCGUUUCACAACUUUCUGAACAUUUUCUUCAUGUUCCUUCUGGCGUCGCUUGUAGGAUUUCAUCCCAGACUUAACAUCUCCAAGAUAAAUGAGAAAGUAAAUUGUAAAAGAGAUUGGAAGGACAACAAAAAUAACCAAAAUCCAUCGGAACUGAACCAAAUAGUCCACAAGCACCCUUUUCCUCUUUGGACGCAAGGGAGCCUCAAGAUCUGACAUUGUGCUUUAGCGAAUACCGCUCUUAACUGAGGAGCGAAUGAAAGCUCAAAGAUCGGAACCGAAGUUUAAGCUUUGAAGGCGAAGCGAUAAAUAUAAAG
rnacentral:misc_RNA from 1 species